rnacentral:rRNA from 1 species
GCAGGUUGAAGGUUGGGUAACACUAACUGGAGGACCGAACCGACUAAUGUUGAAAAAUUAGCGGAUGACUUGUGGCUGGGGGUGAAAGGCCAAUCAAACCGGGAGAUAGCUGGUUCUCCCCGAAAGCUAUUUAGGUAGCGCCUCGUGAAUUCAUCUUCGGGGGUAGAGCACUGUUUCGGCUAGGGGGUCAUCCCGACUUACCAACCCGAUGCAAACUACGAAUACCGAAGAAUGUUAUCACGGGAGACACACGGCGGGUGCUAACGUCCGUCGUGAAGAGGGAAACAACCCAGACCGCCAGCUAAGGUCCCAAAGUCAUGGUUAAGUGGGAAACGAUGUGGGAAGGCACAGACAGCCAGGAUGUUGGCUUAGAAGCAGCCAUCAUUUAAAGAAAGCGUAAUAGCUCACUGGUCGAGUCGGCCUGCGCGGAAGAUGUAACGGGGCUAAACCAUGCACCGAAGCUGCGGCAGCGACACUAUGUGUUGUUGGGUAGGGGAGCGUUCUGUAAGCCUGCGAAGGUGUGCUGUGAGGCAUGCUGGAGGUAUCAGAAGUGCGAAUGCUGACAUAAGUAACGAUAAAGCGGGUGAAAAGCCCGCUCGCCGGAAGACCAAGGGUUCCUGUCCAACGUUAAUCGGGGCAGGGUGAGUCGACCCCUAAGGCGAGGCCGAAAGGCGUAGUCGAUGGGAAACAGGUUAAUAUUCCUGUACUUGGUGUUACUGCGAAGGGGGGACGGAGAAGGCUAUGUUAGCCGGGCGACGGUUGUCCCGGUUUAAGCAUGUAGGCUGGUUAUCCAGGCAAAUCCGGAUAAUCAAGGCUGAGGUGUGAUGACGAGGCACUACGGUGCUGAAGUAACAAAUGCCCUGCUUCCAGGAAAAGCCUCUAAGCAUCAGGUAACAUCAAAUCGUACCCCAAACCGACACAGGUGGUCAGGUAGAGAAUACCAAGGCGCUUGAGAGAACUCGGGUGAAGGAACUAGGCAAAAUGGUGCCGUAACUUCGGGAGAAGGCACGCUGGUGUGUAGGUGAAGCCCCUGCGGAUGGAGCUGAGACCAGUCGAAGAUACCAGCUGGCUGCAACUGUUUAUUAAAAACACAGCACUGUGCAAACACGAAAGUGGACGUAUACGGUGUGACGCCUGCCCGGUGCCGGAAGGUUAAUUGAUGGGGUUAUCCGUAAGGAGAAGCUCUUGAUCGAAGCCCCGGUAAACGGCGGCCGUAACUAUAACGGUCCUAAGGUAGCGAAAUUCCUUGUCGGGUAAGUUCCGACCUGCACGAAUGGCGUAAUGAUGGCCAGGCUGUCUCCACCCGAGACUCAGUGAAAUUGAACUCGCUGUGAAGAUGCAGUGUACCCGCGGCAAGACGGAAAGACCCCGUGAACCUUUACUAUAGCUUGACACUGAACAUUGAGCCUUGAUGUGUAGGAUAGGUGGGAGGCUUUGAAGCGUGGACGCCAGUCUGCGUGGAGCCAACCUUGAAAUACCACCCUUUAAUGUUUGAUGUUCUAACGUUGGCCCCUGACCGGGGUUGCGGACAGUGUCUGGUGGGUAGUUUGACUGGGGCGGUCUCCUCCCAAAGCGUAACGGAGGAGCACGAAGGUUAGCUAAUCCUGGUCGGACAUCAGGAGGUUAGUGCAAUGGCAUAAGCUAGCUUGACUGCGAGCGUGACGGCGCGAGCAGGUGCGAAAGCAGGUCAUAGUGAUCCGGUGGUUCUGAAUGGAAGGGCCAUCGCUCAACGGAUAAAAGGUACUCCGGGGAUAACAGGCUGAUACCGCCCAAGAGUUCAUAUCGACGGCGGUGUUUGGCACCUCGAUGUCGGCUCAUCACAUCCUGGGGCUGAAGUAGGUCCCAAGGGUAUGGCUGUUCGCCAUUUAAAGUGGUACGCGAGCUGGGUUUAGAACGUCGUGAGACAGUUCGGUCCCUAUCUGCCGUGGGCGCUGGAGAAUUGAGGGGGGCUGCUCCUAGUACGAGAGGACCGGAGUGGACGCAUCACUGGUGUUCGGGUUGUCAUGCCAAUGGCACUGCCCGGUAGCUAAAUGCGGAAGAGAUAAGUGCUGAAAGCAUCUAAGCACGAAACUUGCCCCGAGAUGAGUUCUCCCUGAGACUUUAAGUCUCCUGAAGGAACGUUGAAGACGACGACGUUGAUAGGCCGGGUGUGUAAGCGCAGCGAUGCGUUGAGCUAACCGGUACUAAUGAACCGUGAGGCUUAACCUU